rnacentral:rRNA from 1 species
UACAGAGAGUGCGAACGUUGUUCGGAAUUACUGGGCUUAAAGCGCACGUAGGCGGCGCCGCAAGUGCGGGGUGAAAUCCCACGGCUUACCCGUGGAACUGCCUUGCAGACUGCGGUGCUCGAGGAUGGUAGGGGAGAGCGGAACUCCUGGUGGAGCGGUGAAAUGCGUAGAUAUCAGGAGGAACACCGGUGGCGAAGGCGGCUCUCUGGUCCAUUUCUGACGCUGAGGUGCGAAAGCUAGGGGAGCAAAC